UCUUCUUGAUUAUUUAUUUGAAGUCGGGCCUGCCCAAUGAUUUAAUUUAAUGGCCGCAGUAAUUUGACUGUGCAAAGGUAGCAUAAUAAUUAGUUCUUUAAUUGGGGACUGGAAUGAAAGGUUUGACGUGUGAAGAUCUGUCUCUAUUUUUUUUGUUUAAUUUAAUUAACUAUUGAAAAGGGUAGUAUUUUAAUGAGGGACGAAAAGACCCCGUCAAGUUUUAUAUAUUUUAUUUAAUUUUUACUCGUUUUUUUUAAUGUAUAUUUAGCUGGGGCGGCUUUUAUAUAAUCAACUGUAUUUCUUUUUAUAAUUUAUAAUUUAUGUUGUUAACUUUAUAUAAUUUUAUAAUAAAUUACUGCGGGGGUAACAGCGUAAUUAAUUUGUGGAGUUCUAAUCGAUAAAUUAGAUUGCGACCUCGAUGUUGGAUUAAUAUAACUAUAGGGUGAAGUUGCUCUAUUAGUAAGUCUGUUCGACUUUUAAAAUAUUACA
rnacentral:rRNA from 1 species